rnacentral:rRNA from 1 species
UGGGGAAUAUUGGACAAUGGGCGCAAGCCUGAUCCAGCCAUGCCGCGUGGGUGAUGAAGGCCUUAGGGUUGUAAAGCCCUUUCGGCGGGGAAGAUAAUGACGGUACCCGCAGAAGAAGCCCCGGCUAACUUCGUGCCAGCAGCCGCGGUAAUACGAAGGGGGCUAGCGUUGCUCGGAAUCACUGGGCGUAAAGGGUGCGUAGGCGGGUCUUUAAGUCAGGGGUGAAAUCCUGGAGCUCAACUCCAGAACUGCCUUUGAUACUGAGGAUCUUGAGUUCGGGAGAGGUGAGUGGAACUGCGAGUGUAGAGGUGAAAUUCGUAGAUAUUCGCAAGAACACCAGUGGCGAAGGCGGCUCACUGGCUCGGUACUGACGCUGAGGUACGAAAGCGUGGGGAGCAAACA